AUACGGAAGGUCCGGGCGUUAUCCGGAUUUAUUGGGUUUAAAGGGAGCGCAGGCGGAGAUGCAAGCGUGACGUCAAAUUUCGGGGCUCAACCCCGUCUCGCGUCGCGAACUGCGUCCCUUGGUUGCGGGAAGGGGAGGCGGAACGCGCGGUGGUGCGGGGAAAUGCAUAGAUAUCACGAAGAACUCCGAUCGCGAAGGCAGCCUUCCGGCCCGUCAACGACGCUCAUGCUCGAAGGUGCGGGUAUCAAACAGGAUUAGAUACCCUGGUAGUCCGCACAGUAAACGAUGGACACCCGCGGUUUGGCCUGUAUGGCUGAGCCGCCAAGCGAAAGCGUUAAGUGUCCCACCUGGGGAGUACGCCGGCAACGGUGAAACUCAAAUGAAUUGGCGGGG
rnacentral:rRNA from 1 species